GUGAGGACAAAACAAACGAACUCUGAGUUAAUAAAAUAGAAUAGAGAGGGAGAGAGUGUGUUUUUGCGAUGGAAUCGACUGCAAUGAACUUUCACUGGAAACUCUGAAGCGAAAAAUACCUGGGUAAAAAUAGCCUCGGUUUCUCUGCUCUGAUGGUCCGGAGCGCCGCUGAUCUGCUGCCAUUACCGGAGGAGCGUCACAGCGCGAGCUGAUCUCCAGCCCAUUACCGGUGUGUGUGUGUGUGUGUGUGUGUGUGUGUCAGAUGAGCUCAUCAUGGGUGAAGCGUUCACACACACGCAGCGCUGCGGGAAACAUCUGCGACUGCUGCUCUUCAUACUGCUGCCAUGUGUGUGUGUCCUCAUCUGUGUGUGUGUGCU